GAUGAAUGCUGGCGGCGUGCCUAAUACAUGCAAGUCGAGCGGUAAGGCCCUUCGGGGUACACGUGCGGCGGACGGCUGAGUAACGCGUGGGAACAUGCCCCAAAGUGAGGGAUAACGCACCGAAAGGUGUGCUAAUACCGCAUAUGGUCUUCGGAUUAAAGGAUUUAUCCGCUUUGGGAGUGGCCCGCGUACGAUUAGAUUGUUGGUGAGGUAACGGCUCACCAAGUCGACGAUCGUUAACUGGUCUGAGAGGAUGAUCAGUCAGACUGGAACUGAGACACGGUCCAGACUCCUACGGGAGGCAGCAGUAAGGAAUCUUCCACAAUGGGCGAAAGCCUGAUGGAGCAACGCCGCGUGCAGGAUGAAGGCCUCGGUCGUAACUAGCUUUAUGAGUGAAGAAUAAUGACGGUAACUCAUGAAUAAGACACCGGCUAACUAACGUGCCAGCAGCCGCGGUAAU
rnacentral:rRNA from 1 species